GAUGAACGCUGGCGGCGUGCCUAAUACAUGCAAGUCGAGCGAACAGACGAGGAGCUUGCUCCUCUGACGUUAGCGGCGGACGGGUGAGUAACACGUGGAUAACCUACCUAUAAGACUGGGAUAACUUCGGGAAACCGGAGCUAAUACCGGAUAAUAUAUUGAACCGCAUGGUUCAAUAGUGAAAGACGGUUUUGCUGUCACUUAUAGAUGGAUCCGCGCCGCAUUAGCUAGUUGGUAAGGUAACGGCUUACCAAGGCAACGAUGCGUAGCCGACCUGAGAGGGUGAUCGGCCACACUGGAACUGAGACACGGUCCAGACUCUUACGGGAGGCAGCAGUAGGGAAUCUUCCGCAAUGGGCGAAAGCCUGACGGAGCAACGCCGCGUGAGUGAUGAAGGUCUUCGGAUCGUAAAACUCUGUUAUUAGGGAAGAACAAAUGUGUAAGUAACUAUGCACGUCUUGACGGUACCUAAUCAGAAAGCCACGGUUAACUACGUG
rnacentral:rRNA from 1 species